AUUAUUUCAGGGUAAACUUUGCUCUUCCGAACUGAGUAUACGUUCAACUUGCAAAUAUCCUUUGCAUGUACAAGACAGUCCAAUCGCAAUUUCGUUUAAGUAAUCGCAAGCCCGGCUCACUAAAUCCGCUCCUCUUUGAAAUAAGCGAGCUGCAAAUAGAACGCGUUUGUUCUGCGAUACAAAAUCCAAGUAAGGUUGGUGUGGAUGUCGUACACAAGGUACAUUCUCAUAUGCAUACGUCAUUAGGAUUGUGGUUUUACCUUAUGAUGUUUUAAAACCGUAAACUUUCGUCAUAGACUAUUUGAAUUGUUAAAAUUCGGCGAAGAUCCGAAGAUUUCAUCAAAAUGUUUAACAAAUUGAAGCUUGCAGAUUAAAUGCAAGGAAAAAGAUGAAUAGACGGAAAGACACGUUUAAAUCAAACCAAAAAGUGAUUCUAAAUCGAUCGGUAUAAUAAGAAGCAAAGAAAUGUGAACUGUGGCAGGCAACUAUUUCGGAUGAGGCACUUUUGAAAGUGAAUCGGGUGAUUGUAAAAAUCGUAAUGAACAGUUUCGAAUGAUGGCCACGAUCGAGAAAGUUUAUUGUCGGAAAAGAACAACGGUAGACAAGAAAAUUCUAAAAGCUAAUUUGAUUGAAUCAAGACGGUCACCACACGUUCAAAAUAGAACACAUUCCAAAAGCCGAAUCGCGUUAUCCAUCGUAUUAUCAUAACAGUUCACGUUUUUUGCCAUUUUUUUGCGACAUAAAACGUAACGCCUAUGAAUGCGUAGAAAAAGCCGAUUCAUCAGCCUCGAUUAGUGACUUUUUCAGGAAUACAAUGGAAACUAAACCCAAAUUUGAUCUGACAUAUUUAUUCGCUCUGGCUCAAAAUCAAAUGUUAAAUUAUCGCAAAUCCCUUCACUGCUCAUAGUACUCAUACUACAACUCAUAUUAUUCCUAAGGUGUUAGUAACGAUGCGGAAGAACGAGAUACAGAAAACAUUCGAAAAUUUGUAAGCCACUUAGACACUCAGUGUAUAUACAAGCAAACUCCUUCCUGCAAUGUCGAAUAUCUCAAAUUUGCUGUUUAGACAAUUUUAUGAACAAAAACCAAGCAUUAUGCGGUGAUCAACGACGAUUCACCACACAUACAGCAAACACAACUUUUUUUACAGCACCUGCAGCAAGCUGCCUCCUCGCUACAUUGCAACUGAAAGGAAUUUUGAGUCGUCCAGAAGCCCAAAUGCUGCUGAUCGGUUUAGUAAAAGAUAAGCUAGGCGAAAUUUCUGAACAUGACUAGUCAAUCCCGUUUGAGUCAUCGCGAUCGUGAAGCCAUUAUGUGGAACUUACGUAUACAUGUCAACAGCAACAGCAACAAAUUCUGCAAACCUUAACUGCUCUAUCUAAUAUCUAAUAGCCUGUUGGGGUAAAUUAGAAUCAAAUGGCUCGUGUGCAAAAGCAUCUUGUAAGCAGCGUGUUGUUAAUGGGAUGCUGGAAACGAGCGCAGAAAUAUCAUUUAAAAAAAAAA